AUGGAGAUGACUCUGUUGUCCAUCACAGUGUGUUUCACUCAGUUCCUCAUUGCCUCAGCUCUUUAUUUCAAGACACUGCCACCAAACACCCUUAGCGACUACACUGAAACCACACAAAUAACUCCAGCAACAACAAAAACAAACCCAGAACCUAAGAUCCUUAUAUAUGCAACCUCUCCGUCACCUCUGAACGCAACAACACAGGACAGCAUAACAAAUUUGCCCAGUGAAGUGCAUACACAGCCAAAUACAACACCAAAUGUGACACUCACACAGGAAACAGCAUCCCUGCAUCAAGACAACAGCAGUAGUCCAUCUCAAAAUGACAUGAUGGAUGAUGGCGUGAGUGUUAGCCAUGUUGCUAUGAGCCAUGCGAAUACAAGUCAUACAACAGUUUCCACUAACUUUGCAAGACUGACGCCACAAAAGGAUGACAGUAAUGAAACAGGAACAAUGUCAAGUGUGAGUUACAACUAUGAAGGGCACACUGUUCAGACUGCAGACACCUUAUCAGACCCAGUGGACAGUGUCUCAACAGUUCCCUGGAGACAUUCGACAGAGAAAGAGGAUGAGAGAACGAAGGCAGAUGAAGGAAAUUAUGAAACUAACUCCACCCAGGCCACAUUUGCUAAUACGAACGAGGAGUUGAGAGAAACACGAGGCACUGAGGGAACUUACAGGUUAACAAGUGAACACAGAGAGGAACAUUACGACACAGCAGCGAAUACAACCGAUGUAAGUGCUACAACAGCAACAGGGAGUAACGAAUGGUCAAUUUCACAAAACACAGAUAUUCACAUGACCACACCGGCUUACACAACAGCACAAGACCCAACGGUUACAGAUGUGCCAUAUCACACCUCAGUAAGUGGCGGAAAACACUCUACGACGCCACAGAAUAUAUACAGGCUCACAAACUCUACAGCACCCACAGGAAGAGAAAACAGGACAGGAACAGACACACCCGGUGGUACCACCACCAACAUCAACAUCUCUAUUAUAACUGAUGUCCUAACUGACAGCAGCCUAAAUGCCACAACCAACAGAACAAACAAAACUGACACAGAAAACAAAGUGUGGACUGCAUGUUUGAACCCAAACCCAGAAUCUCAUUCUCGGCAAUCCAGGCUGGUCUGCUUCAUCACAGUGUGGACUUUAGCAAUGACCGCCACCAUAUUUCUAGGAAUAACCAUUUUCCUUUUGGUGCGUCUGUCUGUCUUCAGAAAAAAGAUGAAGCGGAGAGGGAAAGGAGGUCAGACAUGUGAGAAGGAGAGCCUCUGGGCCGACCCCAAAGCUUCAGUGCAGGAGAGAGUGGAGUUCUGGUACAUCAAUGGAUCCACGCUGGAGGCCGACAGCAAAGACAGAAAGAGACAGAAGAGGAUGAAGAGAAGAGGACAGGAACAGGAUAAUGAGGAGAAUGGGCUGUGGAUUCAGCCUAGAGUGACUGUCGAUGACAUAACAGAGUUCUGGUACGCAAACAGACGCAUGAAGGAAGAGAGGAUGCAGGACACGUAG
ensembl:lncRNA